GAUGAACGCUGGCGGCGUGCCUAACACAUGCAAGUCGAGCGAUUCUCUUCGGAGAAGAGCGGCGGACGGGUGAGUAACGCGUGGGUAACCUGCCCUGUACACACGGAUAACAUACCGAAAGGUAUGCUAAUACGAGAUAAUAUGCUUUUAUCGCAUGGUAGAAGUAUCAAAGCUCCGGCGGUACAGGAUGGACCCGCGUCUGAUUAGCUAGUUGGUGAGGUAACGGCUCACCAAGGCGACGAUCAGUAGCCGACCUGAGAGGGUGAUCGGCCACAUUGGAACUGAGACACGGUCCAAACUCCUACGGGAGGCAGCAGUGGGGAAUAUUGCACAAUGGGCGAAAGCCUGAUGCAGCAACGCCGCGUGAGCGAUGAAGGCCUUCGGGUCGUAAAGCUCUGUCCUCAAGGAAGAUAAUGACGGUACUUGAGGAGGAAGCCCCGGCUAACUACGUGCCAGCCGCCGCCGUAACAC
rnacentral:rRNA from 1 species